UACGUAGGGUGCAAGCGUUAAUCGGAAUUACUGGGCGUAAAGGGCGCGUAGGCGGUGUGUCAAGUCAGGCGUGAAAGCCCCGGGCUCAACCUGGGAACCGCGCUUGAGACUGGCACGCUAGAGUUCGGGAGAGGAUGGUGGAAUUCCCAGUGUAGAGGUGAAAAUUCGUAGAUAUUGGGAAGAACACCGAUGGCGAAGGCAGCCAUCUGGACCGACACUGACGCUCAUGCACGAAAGCGUGGG
rnacentral:rRNA from 1 species